CGGUGUUUAACUGGCGUGAUGUGGGACGUCCUACCGGUGGGCUUAGCCUCGCGAGGGGCGGCCCAACUAAUAUCCCGUCGCGGUGCUCUUUACUGAGUGUCGAGUCGGGCCGGUACGUUUACUUUGAACAAAUUAGAGUGCUUAAAGCAGGCUAUCCUCGCCUGAAUACUGCGUGCAUGGAAUAAUGGAAUAGGACCUCGGUUCUAUUUUGUUGGUUUUCGGAACCCCGAGGUAAUGAUUAAUAGGGACAGAUGGGGGCAUUCGUAUUGCGACGUUAGAGGUGAAAUUCUUGGAUCGUCGCAAGACGGACAGAAGCGAAAGCAUUUGCCAAAAAUGUUUUCAUUAAUCAAGAACGAAAGUUAGAGGUUCGAAGGCGAUCAGAUACCGCCCUAGUUCUAACCAUAAACGAUGCCAGCUAGCGAUCCGCCGAAGUUCCUCCGAUGACUCGGCGGGCAGCUUCCGGGAAACCAAAGCUUUUGGGUUCCGGGGGAAGUAUGGUUGCAAAGCUGAAACUUAAAGGAAUUGACGGAAGGGCACCACCAGGAGUGGAGCCUGCGGCUUAAUUUGACUCAACACGGGAAACCUCACCAGGCCCAGACACCGGAAGGAUUGACAGAUUGAUAGCUCUUUCUUGAUUCGGUGGGUGGUGGUGCAUGGCCGUUCUUAGUUGGUGGAGCGAUUUGUCUGGUUAAUUCCGAUAACGAACGAGACUCUAGCCUGCUAAAUAGGCGUACCUUAUGGUAUCGCGAAGGCCCCCGGCUUCGGCCGGUGGGUUUUUACUACCAACGUACAGACAAAUCUUCUUAGAGGGACAGGCGG
rnacentral:rRNA from 1 species